rnacentral:tRNA from 1 species
GGUAAGGUGGCCGAGAAGGUAGUGGGUUGUAACCCCAAGCACGGAGGUUCUAGUCCUCCCCUUAUCA